GACGAACGCUGGCGGCGUGCUUAACACAUGCAAGUCGAACGGAAAGGCCCUGCUUGCAGGGUACUCGAGUGGCGAACGGGUGAGUAACACGUGGGUGAUCUGCCCUGCACUUCGGGAUAAGCCUGGGAAACUGGGUCUAAUACCGGAUAGGAGCCAUUUUUAGUGUGAUGGUUGGAAAGUUUUUUCGGUGUAGGAUGAGCUCGCGGCCUAUCAGCUUGUUGGUGGGGUAAUGGCCUACCAAGGCGGCGACGGGUAGCCGGCCUGAGAGGGUGGACGGCCACAUUGGGACUGAGAUACGGCCCAGACUCCUACGGGAGGCAGCAGUGGGGAAUAUUGCACAAGGGGCGCAAGCCUGAUGCAGCGACGCCGCGUGGGGGAUGACGGCCUUCGGGUUGUAAACUCCUUUCGCUAGGGACGAAGCUUUUUGUGACGGGACCUAGAUAAGAAGCCCCGGCUAACGACG
rnacentral:rRNA from 1 species